rnacentral:tRNA from 1 species
CAGAAGGUAGUUUAUUUAAAAUAUUAAUUUUGGGGAUUAAUGAUAAAAUUUAUUUUUCCUUCUGA